AAAUAUAUAUAAUAAAAAUACCAAAUAUAUGUGAUGAUUUGAAAUAAUCAAUUAACUUACAACAUGAAAAUUAUCAAAUUGUUAUAUUUAAAAUGAUUAUAUAAAUAUAUUCUAAUUAUGUAAAACAUAUAUAAAAAUGAAAAUUAAUACCCGCACGGUUGUGCGGGUCCAAAUCUAGUAAUCUAUUAAUUUAGAGUUCUAUUAAAAAUCUACAGUGACAUAUUUUAAAUUUGGACAUAUUGAACAUGUUGUGACUAAAUAUAACUCGGACAUAUUUAUAUCAUUGACAUUAAACACACGUCACUUACAUUAAAACACAAGUUUCAUUAUCUUUACAUUAUAUGGCACUGUGAUUAACCUAAUAAAACAUUCAUUGUUCAAGAUUUAUGUAUUUUUUUUAAUUUAUUGUAAUAUUUCAUUCUUCACUAAUAUUAUGUAAGCAGGAGACGAGGAUGCGACAAAACUCACUGAAAGAGGAUUCAAGCUGUUCUUUCUGGAUUUCAAUCAACGGUGAGAUAAAGAUUUUGGGUGAAAUUAGAGAUUUCACUGUUGUGGUAAUUUUUCUUCUUUCUGGGUGACUGAUUAUUAGUAAAAGAUUAGGGAGUAGUAUUCACUUAGUAUUGAAUUGAAAUAUGUAUGGUUGAAAACUACAAAUGAUCAAAGUUUGAGACUUUUUUGAAGUAUACACCAAAGGAAGAUCAUACGGUAAUUUGCGGCCAAGAAUGCUGAACCUGAAAGACUAGCCACCUUCAAACAAGUUUGUUCCCCAUCACUGCACUGAGCUCAUCUCAGAAUUAACUUUCCAAGAAUAUAGUGAUCCUAUGUCCGCAGUUUUUGACACUGAUACCAAUUUUCUGGUUUUCUUGACAUUGAUAACAUAAAUCCAAAAGCACGGCAUGCCUUUAUAACUAAUUUUUAACAUUGCUCAGAUCAUAAAAGAUAUCAAAGCUGAAAAAAGAGAUUUUACGAGAAUAAGAAUUAAUUAGAUGCAGUGGUUAAAUUGGCGGAAGUGACAGCUGACAAGGCUUCAAGUUUUUGAGAAAAAGAAGAGAAUCUUGCACUGGAGAAAGAAGGCACACCGACUGAAACAGAAAUGGAGUCUCUUGCAAGGUAACAAAAUGAUCUAGAGGAACAACUUCAGAGCUUUGCGAAUAACAAGGCAGAAAUAUCGUGUGAGAAAGAGAGAUUUGAUAGACUUCAAAUGCAAGUGGAAGAUGAGAAUCAAGAGAUAAUCCAGUUGCAAAAUGAGCUUGAAGUUGAAGUAAACGCUUUAUCCAUAACAUCAUCUUACAAGAUUUUUUUUUCUUUGUAAAGCAAAAACAAAGGAGCAUAUGGAUUGCAUGACUUUUGACAACUAGGCCACUUACUUUGGUUGAACCAAAAAAAGGGCCAUUAACAUUGAUUAGUUAAACACGAAAAAACUUUUAUAUUAAUGUAAAAAUCAAUCUUAGAUAGAUUUGUUCUUGAGGUAAUUUACGAGUUUGAUUCUUCUUUCUUUCAGAGACUGGGCGGAUGAGAAGUUGAGAAGAGCAACAUUUCGUUGAAUGAAUCAUAAAUACAGCUGAAUAUCUGGUUGCUAAAUUUGAGAUAUACUGAUUCUUCUUUCUUUCGGGGAUUGGGCGGAGGAGAAGCUGGAAGAGCAACAUUCCGUCAAAUGAAUCGUAAAUACAGCUAAAUAUCUGGUUGCUAAAUUUGAGAUAUACUGAUUAUUUAAACAUAUUUAAAAUAUAAAGCCAUUCAAUAACAAAAAUAAAAAAAAUCAGAAAAUGUUAUAAAAAAAUAUAUCUACAUAAAUCAGAAUCAUAAUUAAAAAUUUCAAUCUUUUAUUCAGACUAACAUGCUUGAACUAAACUGGAAAUUUUAUUAGGUUCCUAACAUUGCUAUUUUAACCAAACCAAAAGCCAAAACAACAAAACUUAACAAAAAGUCCAAAUUCAUUAAUAACCAAACUAUUACUAUAUUUCUUGAACAGAAAAUCAAAACCCACAACAGAAUCAGAACCAAA